GAGCUGGCUUUCAGCAGGGUUUAGAGCAGCACGAAAAGUGAACUGACCCUGGAAAAAUGAAUCCACACGUUCAUGGAGUCAUAGAACCUAAGGGUUGAAAAGAACCCUUAAGGCCAGGCACGGUGGCUCACCUCUGUAAUCCCAGCACUUUGGGAGACCGAGGCAGGCGGAUCACGAGUCUGCGCCAUUUGUGGAGAACUGCAUUUCACCAGCACUCCAUUCAUGAAGAAUCUACGAGCGCCCUCUAGAGGAAUUUUCUCUCUUUCACAUCUACACACGGUGAAAAGGGCCAACUAGGGCUGCUCUUGUCCGGGCUGAAUUCUGGAAAGCAUCAAUUUCUCAGGAUAUAUAUGCAGCGUUUAAGUACAUUUUCUGCGAGAAGCAGAUGCAUUGGUUUGCAAGUCAGAGCGAAAGCCAGUGCUGCUGUUCAGAGUCAGAGCUGGGCAGGAUGAAGUUUAAUGAACAUUAUUAACCAUUGAGAAGAUGCAUUUCUUGCUGAGUAGCCCCCAGGGCAGACGACAGCUCAGUCACCCUGGAAGAAUUCAACCAGAAAAAGACCUCACAAACCGACAGUUCUGUGCUAGUGAGAACCAUUAUU
rnacentral:lncRNA from 10 species